AUUUUAAUAAAUGUGUUGUCAUUUCAUUUUUAUUACUACUAACAUGAUUUUUUACUGAUCAGUGAUAAUGUAUUUUUAAUGGUUAUGCAUUAUAUUUUAUCGUAUAUUUUCUAACUCUUCAUGCUGACACUUUUUUUAGAAUCAUUUUAAUUAGAUAAUAGGUUUAAAGAUGUAAAUAAAAUUGUGUAUAUUGUAAAUUUAAAAUUUUUAGUGUAACUGAGCACUAUCAAUUAUGAAAAUUAUAUUAUGAUUUUAUUUUACUAAAUCUUUAUUUAUGUGUAUAUUUUUUGUUUUAUUUUGUAUUUUUACAAAUUUAUUGUCUUAUUCUUUAAUUGGAGAGAAUUGUUAUUUCUAAUUUUUGUUUCAUAUACCUUAAAAGUCUUCGGGUGAUUUUUGUUUGUUUUGUUUCUCCAAUUACAAUGUACAGUUCGACCGUUUUUUUUUUUUUGGGAUCAAACUACUAAUAUCAUCAGAUAGAAAAGCUUAAACUCCAAGAAUGUAGUGAGUAUUUGUGUUAGAGAAAACUGAUUUAGCCACUAAUAUAGUGAGAUAUUAUAAUAUUAGAAGGUAUGAAAACUCUUCUGUGUUGUCCUAUGCUGGACAUAAUUAAAUUGUUGUCAAUUGUUUUUUUAUUUGUGAUAACUGAAAAUACAUCUUUAUGUCUUCCUUACAUCAUCCUUAAUUGGUUUACGGUUCGACAAUUUCUAAUAUACCGAGAGUAACAUAAUUUUAGAUGUUGAUUAUCUCCUUCCAAUUAGGAAUGCACAUAAUGAGAGAAAUUCAAAGUGAGACCAAUUUACAAUUUUGUCGUCAUAUCUAUAUAGAGUUAGUAUAUAGAUUACUCUAUAUGUUUCAAAAUGUAAUAAGUUUUAAUUAAAAUCUAUAAUAUUUAAAAGUUAUUACUUUAGAAAAAAUUUAUUUAACAUAUAAAUUUAAUCAAUUACACAGUAAUUUAAAUAAUUUAAUUGACCACACAAUAUUCAAUAAAUAUAAAGUUAC
rnacentral:lncRNA from 1 species